CAUUGACGUGAGAAGGACGCCAGAGCGCCGCGCUGGUGGCCGCGCUACCUUCAAUUUCACUAGCGAGAUCUGCGCGAAGAUAAGAGAUAACAGUAAGAGCAUCGCGAAUAGCAGCGGCUUCGCGCUAUCAGAUGAGUGGUGAGGUGCCUAUGAACCUUCGCAUUGCUGAAACUUCAACAACCUUCGCGGCACAGCGUAUUCUUUAAUGCUACGACAUUCGGGCUGAGGAAAAGGACCGAGUUGUUCCCGCCUAAGAUGCGACCACCGACGCCCAGUCUGACGUGACUUGGCGAUCCCGUCAAUGCCUGACCUUAUCAUCUCUUCGAUCCCAGAAGUUACAGCUCGUGGGAAAGAAGUGGAAGCACGCACAACGUUUUUUGAUGCUCAGCUGGACAAACUAUGGUGCACGUCGGAAGCCACGUACAUACCACGAUCUCCCGAAAGUGAACGGCGGAGUGGAAUUGGAUGGCCACUGUCUCAGCUCACAAAUCGGCUAACGCGUAGCCGGACAGGUGGCAAAUCUAGCCGAACAUCUGCUAGGAUGACGUAAGCAGCAAAAUUAAGCGGCACAAAGCGCACUCAGCUGGUCAACAACGAAGAGCACUAAUGGACAGCCGUGCACUCCAACAGAAAAAGUGAGCCGACCCUCGACAAAUUGCGAGGUAAGAGUGGCGUCGGAGUCCACAAGUACCCGGAUCCAAGAAUAGCACAAACCGCAACACCAGCUCGACCAACCCGAUGUGGUAUAGUCUACACCAUCAGCGUUCAUGGUCCCCCAGUCUCUGUUUGCAGCACCAAGGAUCCAGUGGUUUCCAUUCCUUUUACGAAGCCCUCGAGGACUUGGAUGCUUUGGGCAUUGCCAGGAAUGAAUCUCAAAGGCCUCUUCAUUGAAAUCAUUUGCCUGUCUGACUGUUAUGAAUUCCACAUCGUGAUGAUAAUGUGGCCAAUUGUUCACCGGCUCUGCCCUCUGAUGGGUUAUAAUGAAAAAAGUCACAUUAAAAAUUUCUGUAGAGCAAAAAAA